rnacentral:sRNA from 1 species
AUGUACCCCUUGUACCAUCCGGUUCCCGCGCGCCGCCCGCACCCGCCCGACGACCGCUCGCGACGUUUUGUUAGCC